UACGUAGGGAGCAAGCGUUGUCCGGAAUCAUUGGGCGUAAAGCGUACGUAGGCGGCCCGGUAAGUCCGUUGUAAAAGUCAAAGGCUCAACCUUUGAAAGCCGAUGGAUACUGCCGGGCUAGAGUCCGGAAGAGGCGAGUGGAAUUCCACGUGUAGCAGUGAAAUGCGUAGAGAUGUGGAGGAACACCGAUGGCGAAGGCAGCCCCCUGGGUCAAGAUUGACGCUCAUGCACGAAAGCGUGGGGAGCAAACAGG
rnacentral:rRNA from 1 species